AAAGCACACAAAAACAAAACAAAUAAAACUCCGCCACAAGGCUAUGUAGGCGGCAAAAAAGGUAUUCAUACAAGUCGAUCAAUAGACUGAGAAGCUAUUUACAUGGAAUUGGGCAACAAACCAGCGACUGAAAAGAAAUGGACUGUGUGACAUGUUGGUGUUUACUUUUUUAAAUAAAAUGUAUUUUUUCUCCUUCGA